GAAUUGCGCCCAGGUACUCUGAAAGAGUAGUGUGCUAACCUAUUGAGUCAUCCAUCGCACCAGCCCCUUGGCUUCAAUUUUUACUUGGGGAAGAUUCUCUGACUUGCCUGUCUAUUUUUCUUAAAGCAUUUGCUGUUAUUGCCCAUGGGCCUGGCUGAGAGCAGGAGGUGUCCCGGGCUAUGUCCCAGUCUUGGCACUUUACUUUUCUAGCCAAACUUCCAAAAAAAAAAAAAAAUGUACUCCAACCUAGAAGAGUACGUUUAUUCACUAUCAUUUUAGAUUCUUCCUAGUGUUUUAGUAGCUAAGACAUACAUUUACCAGUCAUGUAUAAAGCAGCAUUUAUUUCUACAGUUCAAGUAACACCAUUUGGGACCCAAGGUUGAUUCUGUCCUCAGCACCAAGUUGGUUUUUGAAUUGUGUAACAGGUGAAAAUGAAAAGAAAAAUCAAUACUUUUAAAAUUAAGAAGCAUUAUUUUAAACUCUAUUAUAAAAACAACACUAUUGCAAAUAAGAACCAUCACAGGUGACCCUCGCUUCAACUCAACAGAAGGCAGCUUCAGACGACAGGAAGGUGCAGGCCUGAGCCUCAGCUGCUGCAGAGUUGACUGCCAACCUCACGGGUGUUUGGCUUUGGUCUAGACAGUGAGAGGACACGGGCAGGACUGUAGGCUCCCAUCACACGUGCAGUGCCCUCUACUCUGUCUUGACCUUGGCACUGAGGCCAGGAAGUCUGUCAGAUGUUCCUUAGGUGGGGCUGUGACCUCACUGGGCCCCGUUAGGCCACUUGGCUUGCAUUGCGUCGCUGUCUCCUGACCGACUGCCUGUCUGAGACAGGGUUUGACUAACUUCCACUCUAAAGUGAAAAUUCAACUUCUACUUUAUUCUCCUUAGUUUUUUUCUCUUUCUUCUUUUGUUCGUUUUGUUGUUGUUUUGUUUUUAAAGAUAAGAGUGUUCACCACAGGCUGGCCUGGAACUCAUGGCAGUCUCCCUGCUCUUGGAGUGCUGGAAACACGGGCUUGAAGCCACCAUGCCUGGCCGUGCUUUAUGUUUAAUUUAUACACAUGGCUUCACCUUUUGUUAAGUGGGUUACAAUACUGCCAUCAUUAUUUUUUCAGGAACUAACCUACUCUCAGAUGUGACAGUGGGAUCACCGUCAGCUGGAUCGCAUGCACACUUUUACGUGUGAAUAGUUGUAUUUCCUGACCAGUCUCUAGCCCUGACUAGUGAGGACAGCUCUGUAUUCCUGGUCCUGUCUUCAACCCGCCCUUCCAUUUCUGACCUUGACCUUGAAUUCUUAAUCUUUUCCUACACCUCCCAAGAGCUAUCGCAUUUUACAAAAUUAAUUGAUUAAUCGUUUCACUUUACAUCCUGACCGCAGUUUCCCCACCCUCGCCCUCUCCCCUACCUCCCGCAUCCCCUCUCCCAACUUCUAUGUUGGUAGUUCUCAGUAUCUCCUUUGCAGCCCACAGUGUGUGGAGUGAUCCCAGUCUUAGAUAGGGAGGCACUUACCCAGAAAGUGAGACUUUCAGACUCUGCACAGUGGUCACAGCUACCCAGCUCUUUUCUUUUUGUGCAAAAGGCAUUGACUCGAGACAGCUGUCACAGCUGGCUACACCAUGUACAGUGUUCGAUAUAACAAGAUAAUCACAGCGCCUGAGGCAGAGGCUUCAGCCCUCUGCAGGCUUCCAAAGGGCUUAUGAUCGAGUGCAGGUGGCCUAGGCAAGAUGGGGGGGCAUCCUUACUCACACCUCAGAGGACUGGGGGGGGGGGCUCUAAAGCUUUUAUUCCCUAAUUGCACCCUUUGUGGGGGACAAGAAGAUGCUGAGGGCAAGGGAGAGUCAGGGAAGUCUGGCUGCCUUUUGCUGGACCUUUCUGGAAUCUCUUCAGACAGCCAGGUUUAGAUUUGUUGAGCCUAUGGUCUCCAGAUGACAAAAGGCCUGGGGAAAGAAAGCAGGGGAAGUUCUCUACACCCGCCUGAAAAGCCAUGAUGUAUAAAGUCUAGGUGGCUGUGAGGUCCCAGAGGCUUCCAUAAAGAAUGCUGUGGAAGCCAUACUGUUCAGGGUGCAUCCUCUAUGAUCUGAGGCCUUCAGCCUUCCUUCCCUUUCCCCCACCCUCUGACCCAUUUCCUUGAUGCCUUUGGUGUGUGUUUAGUGUAAGUGGCCCUGUACCUCUGACCACAGUGUUCUUAUUCCUGUGGGGCUUGGGAUCAUGUAAGAGGACAGAGUUCAGCCUCAGAAGCAGGUGCUCAACUAUCCUUGUACUCUGGAGUCAGGACCAGGCUCUGAAUGCCAGCAUUGUUCUACAGAGAUCUGAACCUGGGCUGGUGGGCAGCUCAACCUGGCCGUCCCUUCACUACUGGAGAGAACAUCCUGCUAGCCUGCUCUCCCUGAGGCCAACAGGUCAGGGGUGGCCUGACCAAGCCAUCGUGAUUGUCAGUCUUGGACCUCUGCAUUGGGCUGUGGCCAUUUGGGCACCAUAGCCUCGGCUGGCAUGUGGCGGGAAGGCAGGCUGCUCAUUUCCAGUGAGCCUCUUUUUCUCCCAGGCAAUUAUUCUGACUUCCUUCAAGACUUUCUGAAGAGUUAUGUGUUACUCAGUCUUUUUAAAGUGGAACCCAUGCUCACUCAAAACCAAAACUAACUAACUAAAUAAAUAAGCCAGGCAUGGUGCCUGGGGGCAGGAGGAUCCUGACUAGAAAGCGAUUGGUCUGCAUAGUGAGAUCUUGUCUCAAAAGCAACAUAAAUAAAGCCAACCAAAAAAAAUAGUGCAAAACAAAACU
rnacentral:lncRNA from 1 species